AACCCCCCCCCCGGCAACCCUGAGGGAGAAGCGGCUUAGAAAAUGGAUGGAUGGAUGAAUAAUUAGACAUAUCAUUCUGAUAGGUGAUCAAAUGAAAAGCUCUCGGUGAGGGGACUCAGACUUUUGGACCCCGCUCAAUGUAGCAUUUAUUUUCUUCUAGUUAUCAAAUUAUGUCUCCACAUCAGUGGCUGGAUCUACUGAGUGAAUCUGAUGUCUGAUGGAGUCUGCUAAUAGGUGAUUGGUCUAUCCAGAGAGCCUGAUUUGCAUAGACCGACUGCAGUACAGUAAGGCAGGUAUGUUCUCCCUGCGCUCUGCUGGUGUCUGAUGUAAACAGUGUGUUGCUGUGGGCUCCCGCAGGUUUCAGAUGCAGAUGCUUUCUCUGGCACACAGGUCUGUGAGGAGGAGAGCCGGAAGUUUCACGGCUUAAUUGAUGCCUUUCCACGUAACCAUGACAACUCGAGGAGACAGGCCGUCACUAUGGAGAUCGGAACUGAUGUCAGAGUCUCUGUCACACAUGGCUUUAGUGAGGAGGGGGGCGUUUACUGACGGGAAAGGAGCUGAGAGCUGCUGGGAGAGGAUCAGAGAUGCAACAGUGGGAAUCUCUGUUUGUUUUCUAGGUGUUUCCAAAGCAGCAGAGGCUUAACGUGAAGUAGCUGAGCGGCUGGUGUAAGUGAGCAGGAGUGUGUGGACGGUGUGUGUGGG
ensembl:lncRNA